UACGAAGGGAGCUAGCGUUGUUCGGAAUCACUGGGCGUAAAGCGCACGUAGGCGGAUUUGUCAGUCAGGGGUGAAAUCCCCGGGGCUCAACCUCGGAACUGCCUUUGAUACAGCAAGUCUUGAGUUCGAGAGAGGUGGGUGGAAUUCCUAGUGUAGAGGUGAAAUUCGUAGAUAUUAGGAAGAACACCGGUGGCGAAGGCGGCCCACUGGCUCGAUACUGACGCUGAGGUGCGAAAGCGUGGGGAGCAAACAGG
rnacentral:rRNA from 1 species